UGAAGGCCAAAAGUAUAACUGAAUUAAAAAAGAAUUGAAUAAGUUCAUGGAGGAUAGGUCCAUCAAUGGCUAUUAGCUAUGAUGGUCGGGGUGCUCUGCGUGUCCCCAAACUCCAUCCCAGCUUCUGGCAGUCAGAACAACAAGGAAUGGAUCAUUCAAUAAUUACCCUGUCCUAUUCAUUUCCUCCUGAAGCAUCUGGCACCGGUCACUGUCAGAAGACAGGAGGGCUAGAUGGACCAUUGGUUCGACCCAGUAUGGCCAUUCUUAUUUUCUUUUUAAAAAAAAUCCAGUUUGAUUUUAAGGUUCCAAGCUCAUAGCUGAUAGUUAGAAAAAACAUAUUGCAUUAUCAAACUGAAGAAACUUGAUCUGGAAGACACUGACAAAUGUGGGACAUUUCAUGGCCUUUUUACAGUAAUUUUUCAGAGCAGAACAGCACCUAAGUUCUUGUUAUAAUGCUAUACUGCUCCAACAGAUUUCAGUCUGAUUGGAAAGAGGAGCUGUGGAGCCCCGCACAGAAAGUGUCAGAAGAAUAUAUGCCAUUCAUGGCUGCAAGACUUCAAUCAAAAUCUUGUUGCCUUAUUUUAUAAAUACCCAGACAGGAAGGAACUGAAUUUAAAUCGUUUCAAUUAGAACUUCAAGUUGUCAUUAAGCUGAGGCUAUCUGCUCUUUGGAUGCUAGCAGUUUGAAUUACAGUAAGACUGAAGUGGGUAUUUUUUAGCCUUUCGCAGUAUGUAAUCACGAGGGAUUUUUGACGGCCACUAGAGGUCACUCUGUUCAUAACCAAGAAUCAAGUCUACAGAGUAAAGGUGGGAAGACUUCCAACAAAUUUGUCUAGUUUUCAAACUGGUGCCAAUGUAAACAGACAGGAAAUUGCUUGAGGGUUAGACCAGAAACCUGGUGUACAAUGUCUCUCUUUUCUGGCUGGAAAGCGAAUGACUUUUAACAUCAACUAUAAGAUUACCACCUAAAAGGUUUGGUCAGAUAUAAUGCAGCAGCCGCAAACUAUUUAUAGUAUGGUUGGUUCAUUGUACCUCCCCAAAAAGAAUUACAAAUACUGUGUGUGUGUCUGGGGGGAAUUAUUUUGGUAACAUAUUCUGGAAUAUAGUAUCUAAACUCUGGUUUGGGAGGUCAUUAAGUAAGGGAAAACGGCGUUU